CAGCAGCCGCGGUAAUACGUAGGUGGCAAGCGUUGUCCGGAAUUAUUGGGCGUAAAGGGCUCGCAGGCGGUUUCUUAAGUCUGAUGUGAAAGCCCCAGGCUCAACCGGGGAGGGUCAUUGGAAACUGGGAAACUUGAGUGCUGAAGAGGAGAGUGGAAUUCCACGUGUAGCGGUGAAAUGCGUAGAGAUGUGGAGGAACACCAGUGACGAAGGCGACUCUCUGGUCUGUAACUGACGCCGAGGAGCGAAAGCGUGGGGAGCGAACAGGAUUAGAUACCCGGGUAGUCCCUGUCUCUUAUCC
rnacentral:rRNA from 1 species